UACAGAGGUCUCAAGCGUUGUUCGGAUUUAUUGGGCGUAAAGAGUUCGUAGGUGGUUCGUUAAGUCUGGUGUAAAAGACUGGGGCUCAACCCUGGGAUCGCACUGGAUACUGGCGGACUGGAGUGUGGUAGAGGCAAGUGGAAUUCCCAGUGUAGCGGUGAAAUGCGUAGAUAUUGGGAAGAACACCGGUGGCGCAAGCGACUUGCUGGGCCAUAACUGACACUGAGGAACGAAAGCUAGGGGAGCGAAUGGG
rnacentral:rRNA from 1 species